GACGAACGCUGGCGGCGUGCUUAACACAUGCAAGUCGAACGGAAAGGCCCUGCUUUUGUGUGGUGCUCGAGUGGCGAACGGGUGAGUAACACGUGAGUAACCUUCCCUUGACUUUGGGAUAACUUCAGGAAACUGGUGCUAAUACCGGAUAGGAGCUCCUGCUGCAUGGUGGUGGUUGGAAAGUUUCGGCGGUUGGGGAUGGACUCGCGGCUUAUCAGCUUGUUGGUGGGGUAGUUGCUUACCAAGGCUUUGACGGGUAGCCGGCCUGAGAGGGUGACCGGGCACAAUGGGACUGAGAUACGGCCCAGACUCCUACGGGAGGCAGCAGUGGGGAAUAUUGCACAAUGGGCGGAAGCCUGAUGCAGAAACGUCGCGUGCGGGAUGACGGCCUUCGGGUUGGAAACCGCUUUCGCCUGUGACGAAGCGUGAGUGACGGUAAUGGGUAAAGAAGCACCGGCUAACUACGUG
rnacentral:rRNA from 1 species